AAAAUUGUAACUAUUAUACAUUUUUAGAAAUAUGGACAUAUAUCACGAAUUAUUUGAAGAUGAUGAUUAUGAAGAUUAUCAAAUGUUAAUAUUACUUCGUAAACCAUAUACCGUUCGGUUAUGUCCAGAUUUUUUAAAUAUAUUUGAUCAAAAUGAAUUUGUUGCACGAUUUCGAUUAAGUAAGGAAAUAGUUCUCAGAUUAGUUGAGUUCAUUUGUGAGAAAAUACAAACAAAAACAUUGAAAAAUAAUGCAAUAACACCAUUGCAUCAGCUGUUACUAACGUUACGUUUCUAUGCAACUGGAGCUUUUCAAAUUGCUAUUGCUGAUUUUGCAGGAAUUCAUGCAUCUACAGCAUGCAGAAUUAUAAAAAAAGUAACAAUAGCUCUGGCUUCUGAAUGCCAUCAUUACAUACAUUUUUCAGAAAACACAAUAGAUAUACGUAAAGAAUUUUACAAUAUCGCUAAGUUUCCACGAGUAAUUGGUGCAAUUGAUUGUACUCACGUAAAAACCCAAUCACCAGGUGGAGACGAGGCUGAAGUUUUCCGAAAUAGAAAGAGUUUUUUCAGUAUUAAUGUGCGAGCAGUAUGUAAUAGUAAUUUGGAAUUUCAAGAUGUAGUCUAGUCGCACGAUGGCCAAGUUCAACUCAUGAUGCUACUAUUUUUUAUGCAAGUCGUUUACUUGUUAGAUUUAUCCAGGGCGAAAUGCAAGAUAGAAUUUUACUAAGAGAUAAUGGAUAUUCUUGUUCUAAAUCUUUAAUGACUCCUUUAUUGCAAACACAUAAUCGUACUGAAGAAUUAUACAACGAAUCACAAAUUCGUACUAGAAAUGUUACUGAACGUUUUGGCAUAUGGAAACGCAGAUUUCCUAUUUUAGUAAUCGGUAUGAGAUUAUCUAUAGCCACUGCUCAAGCUAUUGUGGUCGCAACUGCAGUAUUACAUAAUAUUGCUCGUCAAAUGCAUGAUCUUGAGCCACCAGUUGAUUUUGAUGUCAUACAAUUAAUCGAUGCAUUAGAAAAUCAUGAAAAUCCAAUAGCAAUACCAGAUAAUGCUAGAGCCGAUACUGCAAGAAGAGUAUUAACUAAAACAUAUUUUAGAAGAUUAUUGCCAUAACUAUUUUGCAGAGCUUUUCUAUUAUGUUUCUAUAUUUCACAAUAUGUUAAUUAACAAUAAAAACUACGACUUAAAAGUCCCUAUAAUAAUAUACAUUUUUGUAUUAAAAAAAAUU